rnacentral:rRNA from 1 species
AUGCGUGCCCGCAGACCCCUGCCCCUUCACCUUAUCUCCUACUCCACCCCAAUACUUCCCUCCUCACUUCAUUUCCUUUUCUCUUGGAUCCCCUUUCUCAGUCCAGCUCGCCGGGGACGCUGUUUGUUACAACGCCAGCCACAGGAAUCGGCAGGAUACGUCCGCCCUCGUUCUGGAUCGACGUCAACGCCUCCGGCUCCGACAUGCACGCCCGCUGGCCGUCGCCGUGAACCACCUCGUUUUUCCAGAACCUCUUGGACCGAGGCCCCCUUCCUCUGUUCUGCCGGCCACCGCUGUGAUGUCGUCGCGGUCAUCCUCCUCACCAAACAACGCCAGGGACCAUGA